GCUCACGUGGAGGAGGCCGCCGCCAGCGAGGGGGAGGCUCUGAAAGACGAAGACAACAGCAGUGAAGACAUGGAGAGUGUAUAGCACAGGGAUUUGUUCCAACACACACACACACACGACCAUGAACAGUAGGAGCCGUACAGCUGUCCUGAUGAACUGUCCCUGUGUGUCUGCGUCCAUCCUAACCCGAACCCAACGUGUCCCGUAGAGAUCCGUCUUCCCUUCUCUCGAACCCAAAACAUCUCAAAUGCGUCUCUUCAUCAUCGUCUCCACUGGAUGGGACUCGACUUGACCUCAGCGGUAUUUAAAUUAAAGCUCGGUCAAUUUUUGACUAAAAUUAAAAAAUAAUUCCCUUGAAAUUUCAAAUAUUGAAAAUAUCUUGUGUCAAAAAAUGUUGUUUUUGUUUUUUUUACCCUAAAAGGUUUUUAAUGGGUUUGUGUUUUUGUCAAAUCCAAACAUUUUAUGUCAGCAAAUAGUUGAACUGGGGGCUUUUUUCCAGUUGUUUUUUGGGGGGGGGUCAAAUUUGAAAUGAAUGUUUUGUAUUUUUGGCAUGUCUGUUUCUUUAAUUACAUGAUGCACUACACACGUUACAAAACACCGUCUCUUCUAGUGGAACUAGUUGGGAUGCAACUAUGACCGAGUUGGGCUCCUUUUAAAAUCGACGUCGGUGCAGAUGCUGUAGUUUGACUCGCACACUGGAGGGACGGUCCAGUUUUUAUUGUAAUAUUCGAGGAGAUAUGGUACUCGAUGACCGCUGUGUCACCCUGUGAGUCGUGUUCAGUAUUGACCAAAGAGGAGGCAUUUUGAAGAGGGUGGUGUGACGUGGUGUUUGACCGUGAGCGGUUAUAUCGGCUCCGCUGCCGGUGCCACCGAACACGAGGAAAAUAAAAAAGGUAUGCGUCGGUGGGGCUGGGCGACGUGGAGGAAAUAAAAUAUCAUAUAUUUUUGUUGAUGAAUGACCUAAAUCCCGAUGUUGUCGACCCGUUGGUGCUUUUACAAAAUAUUUAAACGAUGAGCUUUUUGAUAAAUAAUCAUCAGUAAUGUGUAUAUAAUGACUUAGUGGGUAAACGCAAAUAAUAGGACAGCUACAACAGUAAAAACAAAAACAAUUAUACAUGUACUGUACAGCCUUUAAAACCAGGAUAAGACGACUCUUAUACUAUAUUACAAUACAUCAAAUCUAAGAUAUAUCAAUAUAUUAGCCCAGCCCUAUAUGUUGGGGUUGAGCACAAUGGGGAAAGACAUACGUUUAAACCUCUUUCUGUUGUAAAAGUAUACGGUUUGAACUCUUCUCGUUGUUUUAGGUGCUUCCUGAUUGAGUCAUCGCCGUCGAGGCGCCGUUCCAAUCGGUUUCAUGUACUUUUUAAUGUGUCCAUGUUACAACACACACACGCUGCCUCCUCCUCAACCCACGCACAGCAUUGGCGCCGCCGCAAAUUACAGUUAACUUUCGGUUUAGAUGUCAUUAUCAUCUGAGGAAUAAUGCCUUUUUGUAUUUUUUAUCCCUGUCUGUGAUUGUGAAUAAUGUACCUAAACUAAAAUCAUGACAACCCCGUCUUGUUAUUAUCAGCAGGCUGAUUGCUGAAAUGAAUUUGAUUGUAUUAAAAUGAGUCCAUAUGUCAUAAUCUCC